AUUUGGUAAGGGUGGUGCGGAUAAAACUGUGGUGCAGAUAGUGAAAGUAUUGGGGGAGGCAAUAUAAAUUGAAAAUCCAGAAUUGAAAAAACACAAUUCAGAGUUCAUGAAAUAGGGAUGCUGGAAGUAAAGGGCUGGGUUCAGAAACUUGCAAGCUAGACAGUCGCAUUGUGGCGCGACGGUGGCAGGUGACUUUUGCAGCGGCGGCGGGGCAGCGGUAUGAUAGUGGUCGCCGGCAAUGUAGUUGAUGGCGCUGGAGGGCGGCGUUGGUGUCCGGUGCGUGGAGGAGCACGCGUGAUGGUGUGUACGGGUGCGUGGCUGGGCGACGGCCGACGCGGAUUCUGUCGGCGGGGCUGCGUUGGCUGUAGCGGUGGUCGUCGGUGGAGUGGUGCGGUGAAAGCAGCGGAGAGUGUGAGGAAUGGGGUGACUGCCUCUGUGAGCGUGAGUGAGAAACAAAAAAAAAAGGGUAGUGAGUCGUGGAGUGAGAGUUUGGAGGUGAUGUGUGUUUUUGUCCUUUGGUAUGGGUUACCCCACCACGGUCUAUUAAGCCCACUUUUAAACUAUGUUAAAGGUUCAAGUUAGUUCAUUCAGUUACUAUUUAAGGUCUGAAAUUAUCAUAAAUAGAAGUAAGGUCUGAAAUUAUCAUAAAUAGUUUUAGUAUUUCAUAGUUAGUUUUAGUAUAGAUAGGAGUUGUUGUUCUUUUAGAGUUUUCAUUACUCUUAUAAUGUCUCCAAACAAAACAAAAAACUUAAAUAAAAUACUAAACUCCAUAAAAAAAGUGUUUAUCUACUAUUGAAGAAAUUGAAUACCUCUCCUCAAAAUCCCACACGGCUUAAACACCAGCGCCACGUCAUCAGCAUCGCACAGCUCCACUCAAUCACUAGAACAACCUCUACGCACAUUAGGUUGCACGCUGCAGCUCGCUGCACCUUGAGCCGGUCAACCACCAACGCCCCAAUUGUCACGUUGUCCAGUGUCGCCUAAAACAGUCUUCGCACACACCGGGCUCCAUCCCGCAACAUCGCUAUCAGCGUUUAGAUCCGUUCAACUAUCAUCAACCCAGUCGUUACCGCGCCGUCCAAUGUCGCUUGCAACUACACCUCUCGCAUAUAUCCCAAUUUUCGCGUCCCCCUUCGUCAUCUCCUUUAGAGCACCAAAAAUUGUUUCUCCCACUAACUUCAUCUCUCCCGUGAACGACACUCAAAUACAACCCAAAACAAAAGAAGCGCAGUAGCAAAGCUAAAAAAGAACGACAACCUCCACAUCAUUCUACAUCGCCCUCUAUCAAAAUUAUUCAGCCCCAACCCACCUUCACUCUUGAGGACCAAUUACAAUUUCUAAAAUGUAAGAUAA
rnacentral:lncRNA from 1 species